AGUGAACGCUGGCGGUAGGCCUAACACAUGCAAGUCGAACGGCAGCACAGUAAGAGCUUGCUCUUACGGGUGGCGAGUGGCGGACGGGUGAGGAAUACAUCGGAAUCUACUUUUUCGUGGGGGAUAACGUAGGGAAACUUACGCUAAUACCGCAUACGACCUACGGGUGAAAGCAGGGGAUCUUCGGACCUUGCGCGAUUGAAUGAGCCGAUGUCGGAUUAGCUAGUUGGCGGGGUAAAGGCCCACCAAGGCGACGAUCCGUAGCUGGUCUGAGAGGAUGAUCAGCCACACUGGAACGGGGACAAGGUCCAGACUCCUAAGGGAGGCAGCAGUGGGGAAUAUUGGACAAGGGGCGGAAGCCUGAUCCAGCCAAACCGCGUGGGUGAAGAAGGGCAUCGGGGUGUAAAGCCCUUUUGUUGGGAAAGAAAAGCAGCAGGUUAAUACCCCGCUGUUCUGACGGUACCCAAAGAAUAAGCACCGGCUAACUUCGUG
rnacentral:rRNA from 1 species